rnacentral:rRNA from 1 species
AGUGAACGCUGGCGGUAGGCCUAACACAUGCAAGUCGAACGGCAGCACAGUAAGAGCUUGCUCUUACGGGUGGCGAGUGGCGGACGGGUGAGGAAUACAUCGGAAUCUACUUUUUCGUGGGGGAUAACGUAGGGAAACUUACGAUAAUACCGCAUACGACCUACGGGUGAAAGCAGGGGAUCUUCUGACCUUGCGCGAUUGAAUGAGCCGAGGCUGGAUUGGUUGGUGGGGGGGGUAAAGGCCAACCAGGUGGAGGAUCGGUAGCUGGUCUGGGAGAAUGAUCAGCCACACUGGAACUGAGACACGGUCAAGACUCCUACGGGAGGCAGCAGUGGGGAAUAUUGGACAAUGGGCGCAAGCCUGAUCCAGCCAUACCGCGUGGGUGAAGAAGGCCUUCGGGUUGUAAAGCCCUUUUGUUGGGAAAGAAAAGCAGCAGGUUAAUACCCCGCUGUUCUGACGGUACCCAAAGAAUAAGCACCGGCUAACUUCGUG